rnacentral:rRNA from 1 species
UGGGGAAUUUUGGACAAUGGGGGCAACCCUGAUCCAGCCAUCCCGCGUGUGCGAUGAAGGCCUUCGGGUCGUAAAGCUCUGUGGGGAGGGACGAAUAAGUGCCGUACAAACAAUACGGCGCCCUGACGGUACCUCCUUAGCAAGCACCGGCUAACCAUGUGCCAGCAGCCGCGGUAAUACAUGGGGUGCAAACGUUGCUCGGAAUUAUUGGGCGUAAAGCGCGCGUAGGCGGUUACUUAAGUCGGAUGUGAAAGCCCUCGGCUUAACUGAGGAAGUGCACCCGAAACUGAGUAGCUAGAGUACGAAAGAGGGUCGCGGAAUUCCCGGUGUAGAGGUGAAAUUCGUAGGUAUCGGGAGGAACACCGGUGGCGAAGGCGGCGACCUGGGUCGAGACUGACGCUGAGGCGCGAAAGCUAGGGGAGCAAAC